AGCCCGGCUAGCUCAAUCGGCAGAGCGUGAGACUCUUAAUCUCAAGGUUGCGGGUUCGACCCCCGCGUGGGCUG
rnacentral:tRNA from 1 species